rnacentral:ncRNA from 1 species
GAAUUUUUGUGGUACCGGCUUAUUUCAGGUACAUUUCGGGAAACUAUUUUCAAAACCUGAAUUUUGAAAACCACAAUGGGUGAAAAGCAUGACGGAACAAUGCCGCAUGGAGGGGGAAGCCUACGGGUCAUCAACUUCUUUUCUCGAAGAAGAAACAAAGACGAUAUCUCAGGAAUAAGCAUCGGCUAACUCUGUGCCAACAGCCGCGGUAAGACACAGGAUGCAAGCGUU